UACGAAGGGGGCGAGCGUUGUUCGGAUUUACUGGGCGUAAAGGGCGCGCAGGCGGCGGACCAAGUCAGGCGUGAAAGCCCCGGGCUCAACCUGGGAACUGCGCCUGGGACUGGUUUGCUGGAGUUCGGGAGAGGAGCGUGGAAUUCCCAGUGUAGAGGUGAAAUUCGUAGAUAUUGGGAAGAACACCGGUGGCGAAGGCGGCGCUCUGGACCGAUACUGACGCUGAGGCGCGAAAGCGUGGGGAGCAAACAGG
rnacentral:rRNA from 1 species